CUGAACUGUCAACAUGAGUUGUUGCUGGCCCCCUCAGAUGAGGGCACGUGCACACUCUGUUUACACAUCCACUCACACCUGUGCAUCCUCCAUAGUUCUGCAGCCCUGGGGGCUUUGUCCCCUGUGCAGUGGUUCUAUGCAUUCACACACACACGCUGUGGUAAAGUCUCAUGGAAUGUAUGUCGCGUAUAACGCAAUGUAAUA
rnacentral:misc_RNA from 1 species